rnacentral:lncRNA from 1 species
AUUGCAGUUUUGCCUUAUAAUAUGGCUACCAACUGUGGCAAGAGGGAAGGCCAGGCCCUGCCUGGGCUGAUCAGUUCAACUAUCAUGCAGGCCCGGAUCCAGUUCUCUGAGUCAUUCCGCUCCAGUAUCUACCCAUCUAUGAGCUGCUGGAGCAUGUGAAGGAGCUGGUAUUGCAGAGCCGGAGCCACGGGAUCACCAUGACUCUGGGCAGCAACCGGAUAACAGGAAUCUCAGAGAUGGUCCAGCAUUGAUGGAACAUUGAUGUGCCGUGGCGUGCAUGUAGAAGUCAGAGGACAGCUUGCAGAAUUUGGUGCUCUACUUCUACCAAGUGGGUCCAGCCCCUGGAAGGAACUCGAGUCAUCAGGCUUGGAGGCAAGUGCCUUUCCUGCUAUAUCAUCUUGCCAGCCCUAGAGGUGUCAACUAGGCUGCCCUUUAUGAAUUUAUGAAUCUCCUGCCUCUGCCUCUUCAGCAUCACAACUGAAGACCCUGUUCAGUUCCUAGAACCCACAUAACAUCUGACACCCCUCUGUAACUCCAGUUCCAAGGGGUCUGAUACAUUCCUCUGAUCCCAUUGGGCAUUUCAUGUGGUGCCUGUUGUUUUCUAAUGAAAGAGAGCAAGAAAGAAUGUGGAUUUGGGUGAGUGGGGAGGUGGGGAGGAUCUGGGAGGAGUUGGGAGAAGGGAAACCGUAAUCAGAAUAUAUUGUAUGAAAAAAAUCUAUUUUCGAUAGAAAAAAGAGCCAAAAAAAAAAAAAAAGCCAGGUGGUGGUAGUGCAUGUCUUUAAUCCCAGUUCUUGGGAGGCAGAAGCAGGUGGAUCUCUGUGAGUUCAAAGCCAACCUGGUUCUAGGACAGGCUCCAAAGCUACAGACAGGAGAAAAUACCUGAGACCUGGAUCAAGGCAUCAAAAGUGCAUCUAGAGCAGAUGACUUUGGG